CAUUCGAGAGAUAUCAUAUUCGAAAACUGUUGUCAACAAAUCUACUUGAACCAAUUCAAAUGAUUAUUAUCAACAUUAAACGUAUUAUCCAUUGAUUUUAAGAAAAAAAAGAAUAUGGGCCACUUUAUGGGGCUGCCAGAUGGAUCAGGCGAUGAUUAGUAUUAGGCAGUCGCUCACACCCGCCUGCAACAGCUUUAUCGGCCUUUCUUCUCACAAUCGCCAAUUCCAAUAUCUUCCUACACCUGUACGAUCCUAGAAUCGAUCUGCCUAAUUGAUGAACUUUAGCAAGACAUGUUUCAAGAGAACGGCUCUAUAUUAUUUGAAUUAUAUUGACAGAUCAAGCAAUCGGGUAGCCGUAGUCAAAUAGAGGAUCCAACUAGACUAGGGCUAGGCUGCCUGCUCUAGUGGGUAUACCCAGUUGCACUCUACUCUCGCGCCGGCAAAGUCAACUGUCGGCUGCGUGGCCGGGACACCUGUAUCAAAAUAUUAUUUCAUAUGCCGACGCUCGCACGUAAUUAGGACUCGACGCAAUCCGUGGACGCUCGAUAGCAGAACAAUGUGAAGGGCGGAGCGCGGUUGGAGGGGUUGCCUGCUGCUACUGGGUUGAUUGGUCGACCAAUUUAACUUUCGAGCUGUGGCUGCCAGCCAGAGAAACCGUCAAUAAGGCGACUAAUUAAAAAUCAAUCGCUGGCCCCUUUUAAUUGGGCCGCAUUCGGCUCGCUAUUAAUGGCCACGGCUGUGACUGCGACUACGGCUACGGUUGCGGCUACGGCCGUGCCCACCUCCGCCUGGCACGUGUCCUGCGCAAAUAUUGCCGCACGCUUUCGAUAGGGCAGCGGGGGAGGGGGACAAGGCGACAGCAAAAGCAAACUAAGUAAAGCGAUAGCAAAUCGUUUGAUUUUUUAUGCGUUUAUGUUUCAUAUUUAUUUAUGGCUUGUCCAACAAAUUACGCGCUUCAGUUGCACAAAAAGGCGGCCAACACGUGCCGCCCCCACCCCGCUCCUGCGCUCAGCAGAGAUUGACAUUUUUAAAACUGAACGAGUCUGCAGUGAGCGGAAAAUGGAUUUCUAAUAUUUGCCUUUAAAAACAUAUUACAUAAAGUAAGAAAAAAAAUAUGUAUAAAACGAUUUAUAUAUAGAC